rnacentral:rRNA from 1 species
UACGUAGGGGGCAAGCGUUGUCCGGAUUUAUUGGGCGUAAAGAGCGUGUAGGCGGCCAGGUAGGUCUGCUGUGAAACUCGAGGCUCAACCUCGAGACGUCGGCGGAAACCAUCUGGCUAGAGUCCGGAAGAGGAGAAUGGAAUUCCCGGUGUAGCGGUGAAAUGCGCAGAUAUCGGGAAGAACACCCGUGGCGAAGGCGGUUCUCUGGGACGGUACUGACGCUGAGGAGCGAAAGCGUGGGUAGCAAACAGG